rnacentral:rRNA from 1 species
AGAGUUUGAUCCUGGCUCAGGAUGAACGCUGGCGGUAUGCCUAACACAUGCAAGUCGAACGGGAACCUUCGGGUUUUAGUGGCGGACGGGUGAGUAACGCGUGAGAAUCUGCCUUCAGGAUGGGGACAACAGUUGGAAACGACUGCUAAUACCCGAUAUGACGAAAGUUGAAAGAUUUAUCGCCUGGAGAUGAGCUCGCGUCAGAUUAGCUAGAUGGUGUGGUAACGGCGCACCAUGGCGACGAUCUGUAGCUGGUCUGAGAGGAUGAGCAGCCACACUGGGACUGAGACACGGCCCAGACUCCUACGGGAGGCAGCAGUGGGGAAUUUUCCGCAAUGGGCGAAAGCCUGACGGAGCAAUACCGCGUGAGGGAAGAAGGCUCUUGGGUUGUAAACCUCUUUUCUUAGGGAAUAAAAAAAUGAAGGUACCUAAGGAAUAAGCAUCGGCUAACUCCGUGCCAGCAGCCGCGGUAAUACGGAGGAUGCAAGCGUUAUCCGGAAUGAUUGGGCGUAAAGCGUCCGUAGGUGGUUAUGUAAGUCUGUGGUUAAAGCGUGGGGCUCAACCCCAUAAGGGCCAUGGAAACUACACAACUAGAGUCAAGUAGGGGUAGAGGGAAUUCCCAGUGUAGCGGUGAAAUGCGUAGAGAUUGGGAAGAACACCGGUGGCGAAAGCGCUCUACUGGACUUAAACUGACACUGAGGGACGAAAGCUAGGGGAGCGAAAGGGAUUAGAUACCCCUGUAGUCCUAGCCGUAAACGAUGGAUACUAGGUGUUGCCCGUAUCGACCCGGGCAGUGCCGUAGCUAACGCGUUAAGUAUCCCGCCUGGGGAGUACGCACGCAAGUGUGAAACUCAAAGGAAUUGACGGGGGCCCGCACAAGCGGUGGAGUAUGU